rnacentral:rRNA from 1 species
UACGGGAGGCAGCAGUAGGGAAUCUUCCGCAAUGGCCGAAAGUCUGACGGAGCAACGCCGCGUGAGUGAUGAAGGAUUUCGGAUCGUAAAGCUCGGUUGUUAGGGAACAACAAGUGCGAGAGUAACUGCUCGCAGCUUGACGGUACCUAACCAGAAAGCCACGGCUAACUACGUGCCAGCAGCCGCGGU